rnacentral:rRNA from 1 species
GUAAGGAAUAUUGGUCAAUGGAGGCAACUCUGAACCAGCCAUGCCGCGUGCAGGAAGACGGCCCUCUGGGUUGUAAACUGCUUUUAUCCGGGAAUAAACCUGCCUUCGUGAAGGUAGCUGAAUGUACCGGAAGAAUAAUGAUCGGCUAACUCCGUGCCAGCAGCCGCGGUAAUACGGAGGAUCCAAGUGUUAUCCGGAUUUAUUGGGUUUAAAGGGUGCGUAGGCGGCCUGUUAAGUCAGGGGUGAAAGACGGUGGCUCAACCAUCGCAGUGCCCUUGAUACUGAUGGGCUUGAAUGGACUAGAGGUAGGCGGAAUGUGACAAGUAGCGGUGAAAUGCAUAGAUAUGUCACAGAACACCGAUUGCGAAGGCAGCUUACUAUGGUCCUAUUGACGCUGAGGCACGAAAGCGUGGGGAUCGAACAGGAUUAGAUACCCGAGUAGUCC